AAUGGCUGUGUGAUUAUAAAGCUUACUUUGCAACCACAUGGUUCCGGGUUCAGUCCUACUGCGUGGCACCU